ensembl:lncRNA
AGCCAACAGUGUUCACCUGGGAGGGGGAGGGAAGGGACCGGAGGAAUGGGGCUCCGCUUUGAAGGUCAGAGAGCAUCUCGGAGCUGUCACGGCCCGGCUGCCCGCCGCGCGGGACCAACUUCCUUCCCGUCCUCGCCGAUACCGACAAGGCACCUAGGCCGCGGCGAGGACGGCGCGGAGUGGCGGUGGAUGUGAUGGGGGGGGAGGAGGAGGCGAUCAGACAGGAGGAGGCAUUAUGUUCCCGUUGGUUACCAGAGCACACACGACAUCCCUGCUCUAGCUCAUAUCAAUUUGUAAUUUGACCCCCAGUCACAGCGAAUGAUGUCAGCACAGGUCGCUUUUGCAAAGUGUCCCUGCAUUUGUCCGUCGUCGUUGUCAAUCUCUGUCAGCGAUGUUUUGUUCUUCUAUUGUUACGUGUUUUUAUCCCCGUUGACUGAUGUUAAUAUUUAUAUAUGUUAAUAUUCUUCAUAAUUCAUUCACUUCAAUUGUCGAUGUUUUGCUAGAUCUCUUUAAUAAAGGGAGGAACGGUUUGUUCAUUUCAAA